AUGGGGCUGGCUCGCGAUGUGGUGGACCUCAGCUCCGACGAGGAGGAGAGCUUCCGCAGGCUUUCCGCCGGGCCGCUCGGGUGGGUCUCCAAACUUUUCGACCGCGUCGUGAUCAUCGGCGACUCGCCCGAGCCACCCCGGAAGAAGGGCGGGUCCGACGGCGUCGGCGGGGCUGACGGAGGAGAUGAAGACUGCGUGGUCCUCGACGGCGACCCCGACAGGCCCGUCGCCAUUGCGCGUGACAAGGGGGCUGCCUCGGAUGAGCUGGAGAUUGUCGCGGUGAAAGGCCAGAUAGCAUGCAGGGACUUCCCUCCCGCGCGACAUUCAUGUUCUGAAUUUCCCUUCAGCACUACUUUGCACGUGAAGCAUUGCAGCAAGUGCUACUGUUUUGUCUGCGAUGCUCCAGCUCCAUGCAAGAAUUGGGAUAAAGGUCUCUUGAAUGAUGAUCAUUGUCAUGCUACGGACAAGGAAACAAAGUGGAAAACUCUGAGGCAGCUGUCCAAGUUAAAUAGUCUGGCAGCAUCUUAUCCAGAAAGAUACUCGAAUGCUCUGUACCCAACAACGUCGUCACUGGGACGUCAGCAGGAGUGCACAUCAGAGGAGCACACAUCGGAGGACGAUGGGGAGUACUUCGAGCCCGAUGAGGAGGCCACAGUGUAUGUUGGGAACCUACCCUAUGACACCGAGAGUGAGUACCUUCCCCAGCUCUUCAAGUAUGCCGGAACCGUCGAGUCCUCGGAGAUCAUUUACAACAAGGAAACAGGCCAGAGCCGUGGGUUCGGAUUCAUCACGAUGAGUACCGUUGAGCAGGCUGAGAAGGCUGUGGAGAUAUUCCAUGGCAGUAAGCUGGAUGGCAGGCUUAUGACUGUGAACAAGGCAGGUGCUUCUAGAACUGCCCGGACCGAAGACAGACGUUCUCCCCGCUGGUCCGGAUCUUCGACGGCCGUCAAAAUCUACGUGGGUCAUCUGCCUUACGAAGUGGACGAUUCUCGGCUAAAGCGGCUGUUCAGCAGGUACGGCGAUGUGGUCGAUGCCGAGGUCAUCUACGACUACGGAGGAGCGGGUUGGCGCUCCCGGGGCUUCGGUUUCGUCACCAUGGCAACGCGGGAGGAAGCGGACGACGCGAUUUGGGACCUCGACAAGCAGAUAUGGAGGGGGCGUGAACUGCGCGUUGAAGUUGCCAAAGAGGAGAGGCGGGGUUGGACGGCAGGACUUGGGUCCAGAUUCAGACAUGCAGGGCCCUUGCUUCCUUUUUUUUGA
rnacentral:rRNA from 1 species